AUUGAACGCUGGCGGCAUGCCUUACACAUGCAAGUCGAACGGCAGCGCGGGAGCAAUCCUGGCGGCGAGUGGCGAACGGGUGAGUAAUAUAUCGGAACGUGCCCAGUAGUGGGGGAUAGCCCGGCGAAAGCCGGAUUAAUACCGCAUACGACCUACGGGUGAAAGGGGGGGAUCGCAAGACCUCUCGCUAUUGGAGCGGCCGAUGUCAGAUUAGGUAGUUGGUGGGGUAAAGGCCUACCAAGCCUGCGAUCUGUAGUUGGUCUGAGAGGACGACCAGCCAGACUGGGACUGAGACACGGCCCAGACUCCUACGGGAGGCAGCAGUGGGGAAUUUUGGACAAUGGGCGCAAGCCUGAUCCAGCAAUGCCGCGUGCAGGAAGAAGGCCUUCGGGUUGUAAACUGCUUUUGUCAGGGAAGAAAUCCUCUAGGCUAAUACCUUGGGGGGAUGACGGUACCUGAAGAAUAAGCACCGGCUAACUACGUGCCAGCCGCCGCGGUAA
rnacentral:rRNA from 1 species